ncrna:unclassified sequences RAGATH-10 RNA
AACACCCCAUCUCGAGUCGACCCAUCCGAGUGUCGACCAGUGUUUUUCACACGAGCAUCCGCUCGGGUGGGGAGGAAGA